GAGAGACAGCAAGCCACCAGGUACAGGACUUGAACUGUGGUUGUACAUGUGGGAAUGUCCAGCACCUUAACCACCAUGCCACCUAUUGGUCCCAAUAAUAUAAUUGUUUUUUAAAUACUCAUUAUGUUGACUUGUCAGAAUGAGAAGAUCCAAGACACCCACCCUAGGACCUGACUCAAGCAGUCUUCCUGUUUCCCCUGUGACUUUUUUUCAAAUAAUUUAUUCACUUAUUUAUUAUCAUUAUUUUUCAAUUUGACCAGAGACAGAGAGCGAGAGAGCGAGCAAGCAAGAGAAAGCGAGAAAGCAAGCCACCAAGUCCGGGACUGGAACUGUGGUCAGCUAUCAGUCACGUGGGAAUCCAGUGCCUUUAACCACCACACCACCUGCCAGGUCCGCCACCCUAACCCAUGUGACUCUGACAUUAAAAAACAUGCAGGGAGGGAGUCACAGGCUUCAGAGGGCUGGGAUUUUUCAGUUCAUCUCCAGGAAGGGUUAUAGAUUAGUCGCUCCACACGACACAAAAUUAGGAACUGAAAUUUGGGUCAACUAAACCCUGACAGAGGAAUGGGGAAAUCUGUGACCCGGAGAAUCCAUGAGAGCACCUUCAUUUUCCUGCCAAAGAAGGCUGAAAAACUCAGCCUUUGCUGCCAUUCUGUUCCUCUACCCUGAGCAUGUCCUACAGCAGGGGACAGAUGAACCUUCCCUGAGUGUGGGGAAGCAGGGGAGCUUGUUAGGGACAGUCAUGGGCUUUGUUCACCUCCCCUCCCCAGUGGAAAAUGUUCUGUUACUUCAUUCUCCUUCCCAUUUCAACCCCGCAGUGCAGGCAAACAGCUGAGGAACGGUGGUGAAUUCGUCUGCAGUAACCACGCUGAGCUCUGGACACUGGUGGUGGGCAGGCUGUGAUGUGGCAGGAAGGGGUUGCUAUCCGCAGGCUCCAGAUUUCCAGGCAGCACUGCAUCUCUCUGGCUGCUGGAUGGAACAUGAACACGGAAGCUGACCCUGCCUCAGAGACCGUCCGACAAGAGAUUGGCAAUUUACAGCUAGCCCAGACUGACUGCUUACCACGUGCAGGCACCAUUACACCCUUCGCAGGUGUUAACUCGUGUGACUCACAACCAGCCUUAGGAUGUAUCUGAGUGCUACUUUUACCCCCGGUUUACAGAACACAAAGCUGAGCUCAGAAAGGCUGGUUAACUUACUCAAGAUCACACAGCUUUCACUGCAAGAGCCAAAACCUGGAGCAGAUCAUCUGGGAGCAAGUUCCCUGCUCCAUAACCAGCGAACACUCAGCCAGUGUCCCUGAAACUGAACUGUACCACUGCAGGGCUCCCCAGAGAAUGCUUCUCACUCUUGCAACAAAUGACGUACAGGCCCAGGGACGAAGCCUUGCCCAGAGAGAACACAGAGAACAUGGCCCUGAGGUGGCAGCCUGGCCUCUGUACUGAAGACUGAGAUGACAGGACCAACUAUUUCUAGACUUUUAUUUCUCUGUGUAAAGGGGAAAAAGGAAUAAAAUAAAAACGGCACAGUUGACACAAAAUAACGACUGAAGGGGAGGAAGGGAGCAAGGGUGGAGAAGUGGGGGAGGGAU